UACAGUGAUUAUCACUCUGAACACACCUGAUUUCAUUUGAUCUCAAAAGCUAAGUAGGGUUGGUUAGUAUUUGGAUGGGAGAAAAAUAUUUUUGUAU
rnacentral:rRNA from 1 species